AGAGUUUGAUCCUGGCUCAGAUUGAACGCUGGCGGCAUGCCUUACACAUGCAAGUCGAACGGCAGCACGGGAGCAAUCCUGGUGGCGAGUGGCGAACGGGUGAGUAAUAUAUCGGAACGUGCCCAGUCGUGGGGGAUAACGUAGCGAAAGCUACGCUAAUACCGCAUACGAUCUAUGGAUGAAAGCGGGGGAUCGCAAGACCUCGCGCGAUUGGAGCGGCCGAUAUCAGAUUAGGUAGUUGGUGAGGUAAAGGCUCACCAAGCCGACGAUCUGUAGCUG
rnacentral:rRNA from 1 species